rnacentral:lncRNA from 1 species
UCUGCUCACAACUGUCUCGGGUUAUGAAAGCCCUUCAAUCAGCAGCUUGCCAAGAUGCUCCCAGUUUGCACUCCAUAUGUUCCCUGAAUGUUGGGGUACUCCCAUCUGAACACUGAGCCACAGUAUGGACUGCUUGUGCAAUUAAGGGUGUGUGGGGAUGUAGUUUUAAGACUUUAUGUGUCAUCUGUCUUAAAUUAUUUUGCAGGUGAAGGUACAGGACACUAUCCACCCCUCACCAAAUUGUAUCCUCACCUCUAUAUGACCUUAUUGCUGUUCACACUGUCUGUCCCAUAAUGAAAUCCCAAUACAAUGGAGGAGUGCCACUUCAUGACAUAAAGCACCUGCUCAGCUGGGAACAGAAUUUCAGGGGCUCUGUGGGAAAAGCAGGAACCACAAAAAAGGUGAAGUUGUGGAUUCCCAUCUAUCCUUCAGCAGAUAGUAUCCUCACUCGUAUCUGGCUGUAUUGUGUUCACACUCUAUGUCACAGGAUGAAAUCUCCAGAUGAAGGAGGAGUGCCCCUUGCCGCCUGAAGCACCUGCUCAUCUGGUAACAUAAUUCGAGGUAAAUUUAAG